GAUGAACGCUGGCGGCGUGCCUAAUACAUGCAAGUCGAGCGAAUGGAUUAAGAGCUUGCUCUUAUGAAGUUAGCGGCGGACGGGUGAGUAACACGUGGGUAACCUGCCCAUAAGACUGGGAUAACUCCGGGAAACCGGGGCUAAUACCGGAUAACAUUUUGAACCGCAUGGUUCGAAAUUGAAAGGCGGCUUCGGCUGUCACUUAUGGAUGGACCCGCGUCGCAUUAGCUAGUUGGUGAGGUAACGGCUCACCAAGGCAACGAUGCGUAGCCGAGCUGGGAGGGUGAUCGGCCACACUGGGACUGAGACGCGGCCCAGACUCCUACGGGAGGCAGCAGUAGGGAAUCUUCCGCAAUGGACGAAAGCCUGACGGAGCAACGCCGUGUGAGUGAUGAAGGCUUUCGGGUCGUAAAACUCUGUUGUUAGGGAAGAACAAGUGCUAGUUGAAUAAGCUGGCACCUUGACGGUACCUAACCAGAAAGCCACGGCUAACUACGUGCCAGCCGCCGCGGUAA
rnacentral:rRNA from 1 species